UACAGAGGUCUCAACCGUUGUUCGGAUUCAUUGGGCGUAAAGGGUGCGUAGGCGGUCGGGUAAGUCUGAUGUGAAAUCUAAGAGCUCAACUCUGAAACUGCAUUGGAUACUAUUCGGCUUGAGGUCUGGAGGGGGGACUGGAAUUCUCGGUGUAGCAGUGAGAUGCGUAGAUAUCAAGUGGAACACCAGUGGCGAAGGCGAAUCCCUGGAAAAUACCUGACACUGAGGCACGAAAGCUAGGGGAGCAAACAGG
rnacentral:rRNA from 1 species